GAUGAACGCUAGCUACAGGCUUAACACAUGCAAGUCGAGGGGAAACGACAUCGAAAGCUUGCUUUUGAUGGGCGUCGACCGGCGCACGGGUGAGUAACGCGUAUCCAACCUGCCCAUCACUUGGGAAUAACCUUGCGAAAGUAAGACUAAUACCCAAUGACAUCCCACGAAGACAUCUGAAUGGGAUUAAAGAUUUAUCGGUGACGGAUGGGGAUGCGUCUGAUUAGCUUGUUGGCGGGGUAACGGCCCACCAAGGCAACGAUCAGUAGGGGUUCUGAGAGGAAGGUCCCCCACAUUGGAACUGAGACACGGUCCAAACGCCUACGGGAGGCAGCAGUGAGGAAUAUUGGUCAAUGGGCGAGAGCCUGAACCAGCCAAGUAGCGUGCAGGAUGACGGCCCUAUGGGUUGUAAACUGCUUUUAUAAGGGAAUAAAGUGGGUCUCGUGAGACUUUUUGCAUGUACCUUAUGAAUAAGGACCGGCUAAUUCCGUG
rnacentral:rRNA from 1 species